rnacentral:lncRNA from 1 species
AAAAUUAAUAUCGUCAACGUUGUUUCAAUUCCGAAAGAAACCACUCCAGAGACGAAAAACGCAAACAAUGAACACGUAAUAGUAUUUGAUUAACAAAGUUCGGCCAAAUUUUGCUUAUGUCUCUGACUGCAAAGCAGCUGCAGUUCUUUUGUAUUACAAUUUUAAGCUUGGGGUUUAUAGCGUAUAACUUGUAUUUAAAUACUACAGUCUAAAUUACAAAAUUAUCCUUGAACCGUUUAUUCAUCAGUAACUAUGAGAGAUACCUAACAAGAGCACUAUAAGAAACAGAUGAUUACCUCAAGAACCACGAAGAAAGGAGCCAUCAGAAAAGCUUGAGCAAGGUUGUCCAAUAGAGCUGGUGCACGUUUCUGAUAGAAAAAUGCUACUAUAAGAUAAAUGAAUUCUGAAAAUCUAUGAAUUAUUAUGCUUUUCAAUGAUGGAACAAUCAUUUACCUCAAACACUCCAUGACCAAUAAAUUGUCCUGUCCAACAAAACAACUGAGCAGCUAACACAACCUGAAAGAUCAUAUUCAUAUAUAAUUUAGUCAAUUUUUUUUUGCAAAUUAUAACAACAUACUUUCCAUAUGCCUCAUGGCAUUCUUAAAGAUUAAAGACAUUGAUGCUUAAAGGGAAGAACUAAUCCACUUAAUUAGCACCUAACACUUAACAUGACGACAUUGUUAAUAAUUAUAAAUGAUGUAAUAAUUAAAUGUAAGAUUAUGUGUUAGUGUCGUGUUGAGUCUUGACACGUGUCCGACAUCAGACAUGCCUUCAAUCUGAAGUGUCAGUGCAGCAUUGCUACAUAUCUUAGAACCCUAUAACACCCAAAUCCCUAGCAGAUAGUAACAAUCUUCAGGGUUGCUGAACUAAGUUCAACACUUAUAAAUUCCAUCUAUUCCUAUCAGAUAGAAAAAGUGAACUUAAAAUGAUUUUUUCUAUCUAAUGAUCCAACUAUUCAACAAAAUAUUGAAACAAAAAGAAAAAGGAAUUCACAUUAUGAUUCUACCCCAUAAUACUGGAAUAUCGCUUCUUAACACAAUUUUCUUACUGACAGAUUUCACAAAUAUGCACAAGAGUUACCAACAUCAACAUGUAACUAUUAAUGAUUGAAGCAAACAGCUGAGACUAAAAAGUAACAACAACGAUGAUCGAUGAACUAUAGAAGCAUUGACAUCAACACCAUAUUAAUUAAACAUAGGAACAAUGGCAGACUUGAAUCAUAGCAGGGAUCAACUAAAAGUUUAAAACAAAUUGUGGGAAGCAGCAUUUUGGUAUUCAAAAUUGUAAGAUUCAGAUAAUGUUCCUUAACUUUGUUAAAUUAACAAUUUAUUACCUCAAAAUCGGACCCUUCAACAAAAUAUAUCUUUAAAAACUAAUAGGGAAUAGCUCCCAAUACAGAUUUGAACUCUGGUUCGUCGUAUAAGGAAUAGCUCUUUCCACAAAACUCAAACCAGUCGAUAUCAGCAAGAUUUCUUAUUUUAUAUAACAAUUGUGUGUUUCUUGAAAUUGUAUAUAGGAUGGCCAAGGUAAAAAAUGUAAUAAUAAUCUAUGUUAUAACUAACAACUCUCUAAUUACACAACUUAAAAGUAAAUUUAUAACUAUCAUAUACUCAAUCAUAAUGGGAUCAGAUAAAAAACAUAGUAUUCUAUGAAGCACGAACACCUGACACACACAGGCACGUCGACACUGCUAAUAUAAAAAACUUAGGACACCGACACCGCUACAUUUGCAUUUAAGUCAAGUAAGUUAUUUCAUUAAAAAAAUUAAAACAAUAUACAAUAGUAUUUGACCUUUAUUAAUCCAUCUACUAUCGAAAAAUUGAAAAUAUUGUAUUCAAAAUGUAAUCUCUUUAAUCCCUUGAUCAACAUUAUUGUUUCGACACAUCUUUAAUCCUAUGUCUAAGGAGAGUAGAAGUUAAGAAACUUGUCAGACAUGUGUUGUACGAGUAGACGUCUUAUAGGUGUCGGAUAUCGAUCCAAGGAGUGUUGGAGUAAAGGGAUUUUUUUUUUGACACCUGCCUGAAUUAUACUACUAUAUGUUGGACACUACGACACGCCUAAUGAGUAAUCAUAAAGGUGUCGGUGCUUCAUAAUUAAUACAACCUCCAAACAUGAGUUACACGUUACAAAAAAAUGUGUGAUGUACAACAAGCAUGAGUUUAACACAGUUACUAGCUGUCAUCGUACUUCAUUAUCAGCAUAUGCAAUUGUACCUACCUAACAUUAUUAUUGUACUUUUUUUAAUGUUCAAAAACAGUUCCAAAAUUUAUCAUCAUCAUCAUAAGAAAGAAACACAAACCGAAAGGUUCAGAAAACAGCCAGAAAUUGUACUUUUUUAUCUGAUGUUGGCAAAAACUGUACUAUAUUUAUACUCCCUCCGUCCCAAAAAGNNNNNNNNNNNNNNNNNNNNNNNNNNNNNNNNNNNNNNNNNNNNNNNNNNNNNNNNNNNNNNNNNNNNNNNNNNNNNNNNNNNNNNNNNNNNNNNNNNNNNNNNNNNNNNNNNNNNNNNNNNNNNNNNNNNNNNNNNNNNNNNNNNNNNNNNNNNNNNNNNNNNNNNNNNNNNNNNNNNNNNNNNNNNNNNNNNNNNNNNNNNNNNNNNGAAAAACAGUUCCAAAAUUUAUCAUCAUCAUCAUCAUAAGAAAGAAACACAAACCGAAAGGUUCAGAAAACAGCCAGACACAUUUCACAUUAAUCUCUAAAUAAUUGGAAUUAAUUAGCUGAAAAUCACUAAUUAGAAAGAAAAAAAUUGUAUGCAUAUGUAAUUGUACAUCACUUUUUAACUGUACUAUAUUUAUAGUAAACAAAAAUUGUACUUUUUUAUCUGAUGUUGGCAAAAACUGUACUAUAUUUAUAGUAAACAAAAACUGUCAAAUACCUCCUAAAAUUUUAAAAUUCGUCAAAUACUCCUGAAACUUGAAAAUAGGCAAAUAUCCCUGAAAUUUGAAAAAGUCAAUAAAAUUGCCCCUGAUUGGUAGUGCAAGUGUCGGGGACAGUUUGAUUGACUUUUUAAAAUUUCAAGUAUUUUCUUAUUUCCAAAUUUCUUCAGAAAUAUUUGAGGAAUUUUAAAAUUUUAGGGGUAUUUGACAGUUUAGUAGUUGGCAAACAUUUCCAAAUUUAGCUUAUAAGAAACAAAUCAAAGGUUCAGAAAAAGUCAAAUUAAGUUUCACAACAAUCACGUUAACCUCAACAUAACUAAAAUUAAUUAACUAAAAAUCACUAAUUAAAAACCAAAUUUCAUUACCAGCUAUAAAAAUAAAUAUCAGAACUAUAUAAAAUAAAUAAAUAAUGAAAGUACCUUCCAAGCGAUAUCGUAGCCGAUGAAAUUAGCUACGAAACUUGAAGAAACCCAACAAAUCAAAGUAAGAACCGCAGCAAAAGAACCGGAUUUAAAAUCCAAAGCAGCAUAGAAAAGACCGUAGAAAACAGCCAAAACAAAACCAAAGUUGAAAACAAGAACAGAUGGAACGAAAUUAAGGAGUGUUUGGGAAGGUGAAAAAAUAGGAGGUGUAAAAUAGAGAAAAAGAAGUGCUGUGAAGAGAAUUGGCCAAACAAAGAUUAUAUGAAUUAUUAUGUUUGUAGGGUUGCUAUGAUAAGCACCGUAGAAAGAAAAGUGCUUUUCCAGAUCUAAUAAACCCAUUUCUUUUUUUUUUUUUUAAGUGAAGCAAAGUUUUUCUAUAAUGUUGUUAUUUUUUUUGUGUGUAUUGUUUUUGUGAACAUUUAUUUAUUUAUAUACUAUUUGAUUCAUUCAUAUGGCAUGUGAUGAUGUAGUCAUUUUUGCACACGUAUUUCUAACAAAAUUUAAUGAAUUCAAACCGUGUCAAAGUUUUCUACUGUUUUGUUUUUUUGGUAAAAAUAGUAAAUAAGUUUGUUUUUUGGAAAAACUUUUAGGAGAGACAUCCUAAUCUAUUAUUGUCAAAGUUUUAGUACAUCUUAAUCCAUUAAGAAAUUAUUAUACUGAUAUAUAAAUUUAUUGUUGCUUUUUCUUUUUUGACAUAAAAUUUAUUGCUUUUGUUUUUAGAAAUGAAAUUUAUUGCUUUUUAAAAAUAGUAUUUGUUUAUUUUUUAUGAUAAGAAAAUAGUAAUUGUUAAAUUAUUGGCAAAGAAUUAUAUUUGUUAAGUAUUAAUUUUAGUUGAAGUGUAUAUUAUAUUUUUUUAAUAAUAAAAUCAUUAAAAAUAUAUUUUAUUAAUGUUUUCAUAAUGUAAUAAUUCAUUUUAAAGAUAUUAUCAUUUUUAUCAAUUCAUUAUUUGGAAAUGGUUAUAACUCUCUAGUAGUGAAGUAUUUGUAUCGUAAAGCCAAUAAAUGUGAAGAGGUGUUAGUGAAUUUGAGUUGUUUUAUGAAUGGAGACAUUGUUUUUUAUUAGAGAUUUGUCCAAGUCAAGUUAGUCAGUCACUUGUUAGCACCUUCUGUUAUAGAGGUUGAGAUCCCUCGGUCGAUUUUGGUGCAGUUUUCUUUUUUGAACUUAGACCCUCUAUAUAAUAAGAAGUGAAAUUUUAUUAAAAUAUUCAUAUAAAAAAAUUAUUAAGAAAAUAAAUAUUUUAUUUAAAGAAGACCUCAUAUGGACUAAAGAAUCCCUCUCUGUAUGGCUUGGAAGAUUUACAAAGGCAAUUGUUUGCUUGGGCUAUAAGAAAAGCCAAGGAUAUUACACUUUUAACGGAAAGACAACUACUCAAAGAGAAGAUAUCAGUUGAGUUUGAGAUGAAAGACAUUAAACUACUUAAGUUUUUCUUGGGAAUUGAGGUUGCAUACUCAAAGUAAUGAAUAUUUAUCUCUUAGAGAAAGUAUCUACUCGAACUUUUGUAAGAAACAAGCAAGCUUGGAUGCAAACCUGCGAGUGUUCCUUUUGAACAAAAUCACAAGAUGAGCUACAAGGAGGAAAGUGCCAAAGUUGACAAGGUUCGGUAUCAAAGGCUAGUUGGAAAUUUGAUUUACUUGGCACACACUAGGCUAGAUUUGGCGUAUGCAAUCAAUAUGGUGAGUCGAUUCAUGCACGAUUUAAGAGUGAGACACUUACAAGUUGUAAACAAUGUUCUACAAUAUCUCAAACCCACUCCAGAUAGACGACUCUGGUUUAAAACCGGUGGAAGCCUAACUAUGGAGGUUCAGUGAGUGAUGGAAGAUCUACUUUACACUUUAGUACCUUCUUGUGUGGGAACAUUGUUGCGCGGAGGAGCAAGAAGCAAAAUGUAGUUGCUCGAUCAAAUGCUAAGACAAUAAAUUUGUGAACUAUUAUGAAUGAAACUUGUGCUAGAAGAUUUAAAGAUAAAGUAUGAAGCCAUAUGAAGUUGUUUUGUGACAAUAAAUCAGCCAUCAUUACAUUAUUAUUGAAAUGCAUUAAAACUUUUUUUCUACUGCAAAUAUAUCAAAUUUUGCUUUUGGUACUUAAUAUUUUGUGUCAAACCCUGCAAAUAUAUUGAUUUAUGUUUCUGUUUCCAGAGGAAUGAUCUAUAACAAUAACAUUUAUAAACAAGUUUUUCAACCUAAGAAAUUUUCUUUUGUCCCUUGUCCUGCCAUUCUUUGAUGUUAGCUUCUAUCCUUGCCUUCACCUUUGUCUGAAAUCCAGGAUAUGGUUCAUAUCCAAUGGUUGAUUGAAGGAUCUACAAAACAAAUCAAUAUAGUUUAUCUAGUUUCAAUUUUGAAAGAAACAAGUUCAGUUCAGAGCACAAUGACAAACAAAUUACCUCGAGAAUCACUAAGAAAGGUUCGAUUACAAGAACAUGAGCAAGGUUUUCCAAUACUGGUGCAUGUUUCUGACAGAAAAAAUGAUAGAACAUAAAUGAAAUGUGAAAAUCUAUGCAUCAUGCUAGUCAGUGAUGGAACAAUCAUUUACCUCCUCAAACGCCGCAUGUCCAAUAGACCCUCCAAUUAAACCAAUCAACUGAGUAGCCAACACAACCUGUAAGAUUAUAGUCAUAAUUUAAGUCACCAUUCUUUACAAAAUAUAACUACACACUAGCUCUAUCCCUUGUUAUAAACAAACAUUGCAUUUAUCUAACAACCAAUAAGGAUAAGCUACAUAAGUAGAUUUGUAUGUGAUAUCCACAAACUAACGUUUAGUUCACAUGUAAAUCUACAUAUGUGCCUUGUUAUGAUUGGUUGGGUAAAUGCCCUCAAUUAUGUUCACCGCAUAACCAAACAAGUGCAAAUUGUUAACCCUCCAAUUUUUAACAAAAGAGAAUAUGUAUAAGUUCAAUGGACAGGUCUAACAAAAAAUUGCGAGUAAACCACUAAAUUGGUCAUUGUCUCUGUAAGUCGCAUUCAAAGAGGUCUCUGACUCUUCCAAUAUCUCAAAUUAGUCAUUGUCUCUGUCUAACGUUUCUCAAUUUGGUCUUUGUGUGAACAUCUGGUUCACUUAAUGUCAAAUAAUUUUCUAUCUUUAUCCACUUCCUAUCAAAAUAUCAAAAUAGUCCCUAACAUUUUCUACUUGCUCUCACAUUAUUCCAUGUCUUUACCAAUUUUUUUUAUCAAAUAGUCACUGUUUUAAAAUUGAUCAUAGACUACACCUAUGAUUUUGGUUUCACAGUGCAUGCAUCAGAAUCACGGUGAUUCACAAUAGCUUCUGCAAAAUCACGGUGAAUCACCAUGAUUCUUGCAUAUCUACAUGAUACCAAACAUACACUACGUGCCACUUCAAUUGUGUUGUGUGAUGUUAUUGUCCACGUGACACUUAACAUUCCACCUAACACAUUUAAUAGUUUUAGAAAACACCAAAUUGAGAAACGUUUAGUAUUGAAAGAGAUCUAAUUAAAAGCAUGUUACAAAUUUAGUGGUAUACUAAAAAAAUUGUUCAUCCCAAAUUAGAUGAUACUUUUUUCUCACUAACAUACAAUUAAAAAUAAGAAAUAUAUGUAAAUUAACAAAAGUACCUUCCAAGCGAGUUCGAAGCCAAGUGAAUUAGCGACGAAACUAGAAGAAACCCAACCAAGAAAAAUGAAAACAGCUACAAAAGAACCAGCUUUAAUAUCCAAAGCAGCGUAAAAGAGAGCAUAGAAAAGUGUAACAAUGAAACCAAGAUUGAAAACAAAAACAGGGUGUAUAUAAUUAAGGAGUGUUUGGGAAGGAGUGAAAAUAGGAGGUGUGAAAUAAAGAAGAAUAAGAGAAGUUAAAAAGAGUGGCAAAAUAAUGAUUAUAUGAAUUGCUACGUUUAAUGGGUUUGUAUGAUAAGUUCUGUAGAAUGCAAAGUGCUUUUCCAGAUCUAUUAGACCCAUUGUUUUGUCACACGAUGAUGUUUUUUUUUUUGUUUUGUAAUGUGGACAAAAUGAUGAUUAUGUGUUUUUAUAUUGAUUGAUUGGUUGAAUGAGAUUUAGAAUGCUUACUCGUAUUUGGUUUGGUUUUGAUGUUUAUUUUUGGUUAGGUUUGGACAUUUAUUAUAUUUCAAUUAAAUCCUAUUUAUUGAAGGAAAAAACGUAUAUGAGUUAUCUUAUCUUAUUUAUAAUAAAGUCAUUUAUAUUUUUGUCAAAAAAUAAAUAAAAAUAAAGUCAUUUAUAAUGUGUUCAAUUUAAUUUUUUUUGGUCGAGUAGCCUAUUGACUAGAAAUUACACCCUUAAAGUGGAUAAGUGGGAUGACCGGAAUUCGAAUCCUAACCCCUGCAUAUAUAAUGCAAUGUCGCUACCAACUGAAUUAAAUAAUGAGACUUUUAGCUUUACACUUGAUGACAACAAUGGAAAAGUGAAGGUAGAUCACUUUAUAGGUGAGAUGAUGACGAAGUCAAUGUCUUAAAGGUUUGAGUAAAAAUAUGGUAUUCAACUCACGUGUAUGGUUGUUCUUGGUCCAAGGUGGAUGAUCUUCUAGUCUCUGCCUCAUGACCUUGUACUGAAAGUAAUCUUGACCAAAUGUGUUUAAUCAGUGUGUCUGCCGUGGUAACGAUGAUAUAAGUGUAUAUGAGUGAAAAAGUAUCUCCUAAGGGAGAUAUUGUAUUUGAAUAUAAUGACUCAUGUGAGAGGUUGUUGUAUAGCAAGUGUGAUAUUAGAAGUCUCAUGUUGUUUGAAAAAAUGAAGAUCGAACAUUUUAUAAGUGAGAUGACCCAAAAAUAUAAUGUCUUUAACCUAACAGCGGUAUACAAAAGUGGUCAAGCUUCUAACAAAGGUAGCCACAAAAAAUUGUUGGGGCGAGUAUGAUAUGAGUUAAAUGACCUACAAACAUAAUAUCUUCAAAAUUUUUAUAAAUAUUUAAUGUCAUAAUUAUUUGUACAGUUGUUUUUGGCCUAACGUGGAUAAUCCUCCUAACUCUCCUCAUGAUCCUAAUAAUUUUGUGGCAACACAAUCAUCAAUAUAGCUCAUAACAUAAUUCAAUUUGAUCCCUAACAGAACAUAUUGAGAUACACCAACAUCAAAGAGAAAAGUUGGGUAAUGAAUUGAUGACUGUAUUCCUUCUUUUUUUGGUUACAUGACUGUACUGUAUUCCUUCUUAUGUGCAAACAAAGUGUUUACCAACAAAUUGUGCUAACAGUAUUUAUUAUAUGGAGCAAUUUUGUCAAAUUCUGCUAACCUUGAGAUUAGCACACCAAAAGUGACUUUAUUUAUAAGUAGACUCCUCAUGUCAACAUAAAUAAUAAAUUUUGAGGCAACUUUCUGAAUUGGACAUUUGGGCUAACCAAACCCAUUAUAAUGUCUAUUAGGGCCGGUUUAGUGCACAGGAUAAGAGACAUGAUAGGAUAACUGUAUCAUAUCUUGUCUCAAUUCAGUGUUUGGUGACACAGCAUGGUAUGAUAAGUUAAUCCUGAAGCUUAUCCUAUCAUGUUUCUCUAGUUAAAAUCCUUAUCCUGAAUUUGAGCUGGGUUACCAGCAGGAUAGGAUAAGAAAAAAAAUCGUUGAUUUAUUCUAUAAAAUAUAUUUUAAAAUAAAAAACUGAAAAUUAAUAAAAUAAUUUGAUAGUAAAUUAAUAAUAAAAUAAUUUAUAUAUAUAUAUAUANNNNNNNNNNNNNNNNNNNNNNNNNNNNNNNNNNNNNNNNNUUAUUCUGUGUAAAACUAAAUAGUAAAAUAAUAAAAAAUAUAUUGGUAUUACCGGUUCCACCUUCUAUAGCAGGUAUUUUGGUCUCCCACUGGUAGGAGACAUGCCAAGGUCUCCUAUGCUAGAAUUGGCCAUAACAUAAUUCAAUUUGACCCCUAACAGAACAUAUUGAGAUACACCAACAUCAAAGAGAAAUGUUGGGUAAUGAAUUGAUGACUGUAUUCCUUCUUUUUUUGGUUACAUGACUGUACUGUAUUCCUUCUUAUGUGCAAACAAAGUGUUUACCAACAAAUUGUGCUAACAAUAUGUAUUAUAUGGAGCAAUUUUGUCAAAUUCUGCUAACCUUGAGAUUAGCACACCAAAAGUGACUUUAUUUAUAAGUAGACUCCUCAUGUCAACAUAAAUAAUCAAUUUUGAGGCAACUUUCUGAAUUGGACAUUUGGGCUAACCAAACCUAUUAUAAUGUCUAUUAAGGUAUACUUCAUUCUUGACCUCACAUUCAUCUGAAUUAUCUGCCAACUUGAGUUUUUCUUCCCUCAAAAUACUACUAUUAUUGUGUGAUUCUCUAUCCAUCAUGUCGAAAAUCAUUCAUGUUGAGCUUAAGAGCAACAAUAUAAGAGACAUUAAAUUUUAUGGGUCUUUUCACUUAUAAAGUAUUUAACCUAAACUUUUCAAAAUAAUGUGAGACUUAAUUUACCUCACAGUUAUCAUAAUACAUCAUACAUAAUGUUCAUGUUUGUUUGCAACAAUUAUAUUCCUUUAAUUUUUUACUCCACCCAAUUUAUCUCCUAUUUUUCAUCAAAAUAAAAGUUUAAGGUAUAUCAAUGUUAUCAAUGACAAUACAACAAAAUGAUAUAGUCCCACUCUCAUGUAAAUUAUUAUGUUUCUGUUUCCAGAGGAGUGAUCUAUAAUAACAACAACAUUUGUAAACAAUUUUUUCAACCUAAGAACUUUUCUUUUGUUUCUUGUCUUGCCAUUCUUUGAUGUUAGCUUCUAUCCUUGCCUUCACCUUUGUUUGAAAUCCAGGAUAUGGUUCAUAUCCAAUGGUCGAUUGGAGUAUCUACAAAACAAAACAAUAUAGUUUACCUUGUUUCAAUGUUGAAAGAAAUCAGUUCAUAGCAUGAUAACAAAACAAAUUACCUCAAGAAUCACGAAGAAAGGACCCAUUAGAAGAGCUUGAGCAAGGUUGUCCAAUAGAGCCG